CUGUUGGGGCGGAGCUGUCCAUGGACAGAGCGGUCGGGGGCCGGGGCAGCGCGGAGCGGGAGCUGCAGUUUGUUGCGUUGCCGCCCACGGCUCGGCCUCGUGCCCCACAGGGUGGCGUUGCCUGGAGGAUCGGUGACGGCUCGGAGCGGCCGGGGAGGGGGUGGAGCUGGGGGUUCCAACUGUCCCUCCCCCGAGGGGUCAGAGGCGGAGAGAGCUGCCCCCCCCUUGGGUACAGCCUCCCCCCACGCGCCGCUUCGCAGCACAGCGAGGGGAUCUGUCACCCUCGGCCCCCAAUACGGUGCGGGCAGAAGAGGGUAGCGCUUUGGUUUCCUUCCCUAUCGGGCAAGAGAUCUGAUGGUGUCCACUUAAAUCCUACAUUGCGCUAGGGCACAACCAUGGCUUCAGGUAGUGUUGCAAAACCAAAGGCUUGCCCAGAAGUCGUUGCACAAAGGUGAACCUAUAUUGCCGGCCAGCCCAUGGCGGUGGGAGUGAGAGACACCAUGCGCACGCCUGAUUCACUAUCGCCCUGACAACAUCCCCAGGAGGCUACUACACUCUUCUUUCCCUUGUUUGGAGGCCUCCAUGACUUAGUGUUUGGGGCUAAGGAUACACCUUCUGACUGUACGGGACUUUAGAAACUGCAGGGGGAGUUGUGUGUACUACGUACCUGAAAAGGGUCCUGGGUAGUACCAAGCACUUGGAGCCAAGGUUAUACAGUAUUAGAUAGGUGCAUCAACCAACUGCUUAAGUUCCUUCUGUUGAACGUCAGAGUCCAACAUUUAGACCAUAACCCUGAGGAAGAGGAGAAGGUGGGCAGAUCCUGUGAUUAUGCAGGGACAAAACUCUUUCUGAGGACUCCAGUAACUUGGUGACUGAACAUGUUAAAAUGGCCCACAAGAUAAUAGUGCACAGAGACUUCUGAGAGGAAUUCACCCACAAGAGAAGACUCAGCCUUUAAGCAGAUAUUAACCUUUCGUAACUCUUACCUAUAUCAGAUGACGUAGGCCAAGAAAUAAAGUUCAGUGUCCUGCCACAACAUACACGUGUGUGUGUUACUCUUAUUACAAGGGCAGAAGGCUUUCUUUCCAGGAACAAGUUUGGCAGUGCUGCCAAAGCAGAAGAGCUCUCCAUCUGCAUCCCAAAAGACUAGCAUACGUUGCCACAUGUACAAAACAAACGGGGCUCCUGGAUUCAUGUGGCUAUGUGGGAAUCUCAUCUGUUUUUUAUAAGGUUGGUUAAAACCCACCAUGAACAAUCCCAGAUCUCUGCACAAGCUAACACUGUGAUGGGAAAAUGGAGCAUUCUAAUCACCUAGCUUCCUUCAGUGAACUCUAUGGAAAAAAACUCAACAUGUGCUACCUCCUACAAAGGUGUGUGUAAUUCAGAACAAGAGGAAACAAUAUUAUCUGGAGUUGAGCUGUGGGUUUUCUUCUCUUUGUGCUGUUUAGCUGAAGCAAAGGCUUAUAGUUUAUUCUUUGUUGUCUCUAUAAAAAGCCUUUUCAAUUAAU